rnacentral:rRNA from 1 species
UACGUAGGGGGCAAGCGUUGUCCGGAAUUAUUGGGCGUAAAGAGCUCGUAGGCGGUUUGUUGCGUCGGCCGUGAAAACUCAGGGCUUAACUCUGAGCCUGCGGUCGAUACGGGCAGACUUGAGUUCGGUAGGGGAGACUGGAAUUCCUGGUGUAGCGGUGAAAUGCGCAGAUAUCAGGAGGGACACCGGUGGCGAAGGCGGGUCUCUGGGCCGAUACUGACGCUGAGGAGCGAAAGCGUGGGGAGCAAACAGG